GUUGCGGUGGCCGAGCGAGUUAAGGCGUUGGACUAGAAAUCUAAUGGGAUCUUCCCGCGCAGGUUCGAAUCCUGCCCACAACG
rfam:Nematostella vectensis strain CH2 x CH6 NEMVEscaffold_452_Cont27643, whole genome shotgun sequence.